AUUGAUGUCCUAGUGGGAGCCGACCAAUAUUGGAACCUAGUGACGGGGGGAGUUGCCAGAGGUGAAUCUGGACCAGCUGCUAUUCAUACAAAGCUAGGAUGGGUCUUAUCAGGUUCAGUAAAAGAGAUGCCAGUUCAGUCUAACUCAUCUACCAAUGUUGUUACUACGCAUGUCCUGAAAUGUGAAGUUGCAGUAAACCCAGAAAAACAUAACGUUGAGACAUUAGACAAAACACUGCAACAGUUCUGGGAGUUAGAAUCACUUGGAAUUAAACCUAAUGAGAGCUCAGUCUAUGAUACAUUCAACCAACGAAUUUCCUUUGACGGAC